rnacentral:lncRNA from 11 species
AGAGUUUGUGACAAACUUCUGGGGUAGCUAUUGCAGCUGAAUCUGGCCUCCAUUUCUUGCUUUCCAGUUCCCAUUGCCUGAAAUGUUCACCUCAGCCCAAUGAAAGAACUGGCCCUGUUUCAGAAGACCUACAAGGUAUUGCCAAUUGUUAAAGUAUAAUCUGUACCUUUUGGCAAGCCAAGUGACUGAAGACAGAUUAUGCGCAACAGAUGGAGAAUUCUUGCCUGCUGAAACUGACUGGACUAGAUGCUGAAGGGAUACAAGACACAUUUUGUGACACAAACUGUUCUGCCUUCCUGGUGAAAGGAUCAGAAGGCCAUUGCUUUGAAAUAAUAUGAAGUGCUACCUACCUAUGAUGUGCUAUAUUUUUAGAGUAUGAAAGACAUAGCAAGAUUACUGUUGUGAAAUAAUUUAAUGCCUAGCAUCAUUUUCAAUUUUAAAAUAAUACAUUUUAUGAAAUGAUUUUUCCUUUUUCUUCUACUUUGGGAGCCCUGGCAGUCUGAGCAACAACAAAUAAAUUCUAUAAAUAUAUAAAUACAUUCUUUUUACUGUAACAAAAGAAGGUUUUCUCAUUACUUCUAAAAUGCUUUGAAGGAUUUGCAGCAAUUUUCUUGUUUUCAUGUGAAUUUUUAUAAUGAUAAUGAUGUAACUCUAAAGCUAAAUGUGUUAACAAAUUUGGUACACCUACAGUAAUGCAUAAUGAUUUUCUUAUACUAAAAUUUGCAUUUCCAGCUCUGGCUCAGAGAGUGAGGAGGGAAAAUCCAGACUGCUACCACUGUUUCACAAUAAAAUGCUAAGAUUGACC